rnacentral:rRNA from 1 species
AAUAGAUACCUACGGUAGUCCACGCCGUAAACGAUGAGUGCUAAGUGUUAGAGGGUUUCCGCCCUUUAGUGCUGCAGCAAACGCAUUAAGCACUCCGCCUGGGGAGUACGGUCGCAAGACUGAAACUCAAAGGAAUUGACGGGGGCCCGCACAAGCGGUGGAGCAUGUGGUUUAAUUCGAAGCAACGCGAAGAACCCUACCAGGUCUUGACAUCCUUAUGCCAUCUCUAGAGAUAGAGCUUUCCCUUCGGGGACAUAAGUGACAGGUGGUGCAUGGUUGUCGUCAGCUCGUGUCGUGAGAUGUUGGGUUAAGUCCCGCAACGAGCGCAACCCUUGAUCUUAGUUGCCAGCAUUCAGUUGGGCACUCUAAGGUGACUGCCGGUGACAAACCGGAGGAAGGUGGGGAUGACGUCAAAUCAUCAUGCCCCUUAUGACCUGGGCUACACACGUGCUACAAUGGAUGGUACAAAGGGGCAGCGAAACCGCGAGGUUAAGCAAAUCCCAUAAAACCAUUCUCAGUUCGGAUUGCGA